rnacentral:sRNA from 2 species
UCACUUCUAUUGCAAUUGUUUAUAAAGCUUCAAGAGAAGUUUCUAUUCUUUCAUUGCUUUGAAUAUCAUUUUAUAUAUAUCUAUUACUACUUCUGUUUUCAAUUCUCUUACAAUUUAUUCAUUCUUCUUUACUUCUACUUCUACUUCUACUCUUUCUUCUCUUUCUCUGCUUUCUAUCAGAUAAAUAUCUGCCACUCAUUCUUAUAGAGACUCAGAUACUCACUUCACUACUUUAUUUACUUUCAUCUUAUUCUUUCUCACUCUGAUUAAUUUUUCUCUGUGUAUGUAUUCUCAUUAUUUUAUUGAGCUUUCUAUAAAUCUUCUCAUUGAAGAUAUCAAAUUAAUAUAUCAGGUUUUUUGUAAGACAGAGAUGUACUCUACACUUCUACAUAUUUAUCUUAAGAUUUUGAAGUUUUUGAUACAGACUGAGUUUUAAUUUUUGUUGUAUAUAAAUUAUUUCUGAA